AUGGCUUCAUGGACGUAUCAAUCCCGAAUAACACUUCGUUUUGCCGUCUAGCACCCUGUUGCCAAAGUGACACUCAGCGAGGUGCAGUGCACUC
rnacentral:lncRNA from 1 species